AAGCAGCUGCCUCUGAGGC
rnacentral:miRNA from 2 species